rnacentral:lncRNA from 1 species
GAACCCGCUGAUAUGGGUAAAACUACGAAUAUUGUUAACCAAGGAAAAGAAUUCGUGAUAAAGACAGGAUAGACUUAGCCCAGAAAACCCGUGCUCGAAAAAAAGAUUUAUUUUGUUUUCGAGCGCGGAUUUUUGUCGGUAAACAAAAGAUCAAAUAUGUUCAAGUGGUUUUUUGCGUGCAAUUCUCAAUAAGCUAGACUCAUACUUCGGGUUGUUUCGUUCCAUACAUAUAUACG